UUAUCACUCAUGUCUUUGAAAUGAAUGCAUGUGAACAUGUGUGAAGAAAAGCCUUGCUACUGUGCGUGUUUAUUGGUUUAAACUAUGCAUAAAUAAAGUUGUUUCAUUAACAGAAGCCACGUGUCUUCUUAAAAUUAAUUCGAUAACGAAUCCGGAAUUAAUACGAAAUCGGUUUUAGUUUUGUCGAUGACAAAAUAUACGUCACAUUUUUACGUCACGGAGGCAGAAGAUCGAACUGCAGGAUGGAUUUAGCAGAGGUAAUGAUUGUCAAGCAUUCGUUUUUAUUUACUUGCAUUUGAAAAUUAUAUCGUACAAUUACCGAUGUCAAAAGAGUAAACAUGUAGCACGGAGCUGUAACUGUGUUCUCCGGGAAAAUUCGGGUUGAAUUAAUGACGAUAAAAAUGAUGUUUCCCCAGAGAGCUACAACUAAGCAGCUAUUUGGUUUAGUUAAUAUAGAAGAACCAAUACUUAUUAAAACCAAUAAAAUAUAUGUCGAUCUUGGAUAAGACGCAUUUGAAAACGGAAAUAUUUGAAAGUAGAGAAAAACUAGAGCAAAGCCUAUGUAAAGAAACGAGUAGGUCUUCCAUUGCAACUAUUAAGUGAAAUAAUUAUUGAAUUGCCUCUAUUAAGUUGUAUUCUUAUUGCAUGGUAAUUGAAAUUUUUUUUAUAGGCUAGCAUUGGCUGCUUGACAUAUCCCUGGAAGAGGACGCCAACUAGCUAACACAGUCAAUGACAGAUGUCUCUUUGAAUUGAUAAAAUCAUAAUCAAAUGGAUAUAAUACAGAAGUUUCAAAGAUCUGUUUUGAUGUAGCCUGAAGAUUUUGUAAUGAAUGAUCCAGGAUCCAAAAGUUCUUCGCGGAGUUCAAAGACAGUUGCAAUGUGGUUGCUAAUUUAGUGACAGAUUAAGAAAGAAGUUCAAACAAGCAUUGUCAUGGGAAAACAUUAAAAAGGAAGAAGUUGGAGGUGGACAAAAAUCAGGAUGAAUAUACUGGAGAAACUAUUAAAGCACAGAAGAAUGUCAACAAUAUAAAUGUAAA